rnacentral:rRNA from 1 species
UUACCUGGUCUUGACAUCCACAGAACUUGGCAGAGAUGCCUUGGUGCCUUCGGGAACUGUGAGACAGGUGCUGCAUGGCUGUCGUCAGCUCGUGUUGUGAAAUGUUGGGUUAAGUCCCGCAACGAGCGCAACCCUUAUCCUUUGUUGCCAGCGGUCCGGCCGGGAACUCAAAGGAGACUGCCAGUGAUAAACUGGAGGAAGGUGGGGAUGACGUCAAGUCAUCAUGGCCCUUACGACCAGGGCUACACACGUGCUACAAUGGCGCAUCCUUUAUAGAAGCGACCUCGCGAGAGCAAUGCGUCGUAGUCCGGAUUGGAGUCUGCAACUCGACUCCAUGAAGUCGGAAUCGCUAGUAAUCGUGAAUCAGA